UACGUAGGGUGCGAGCGUUAAUCGGAAUUACUGGGCGUAAAGCGUGCGCAGGCGGUUCGUUGUGUCGGUGGUGAAAGCCCCGGGCUUAACCUGGGAAUGGCCAUCGAAACUGGCGGACUGGAGUGUGGCAGAGGGGGGUGGAAUUCCGCGUGUAGCAGUGAAAUGCGUAGAGAUGCGGAGGAACACCGAUGGCGAAGGCAGCCCCCUGGGCUGACACUGACGCUCAGGCACGAAAGCGUGGGGAGCAAACAGG
rnacentral:rRNA from 1 species